GAUGAACGCUGGCGGCGUGCCUAAUACAUGCAAGUCGAGCGAACGGACGAGAAGCUUGCUUCUCUGAUGUUAGCGGCGGACGGGUGAGUAACACGUGGAUAACCUACCUAUAAGACUGGGAUAACUUCGGGAAACCGGAGCUAAUACCGGAUGAUAUUUUGAACCGCAUGGUUCAAAAGUGAAAGACGGUCUUGCUGUCACUUAUAGAUGGAUCCGCGCUGCAUUAGCUAGUUGGUAAGGUAACGGCUUACCAAGGAAACGAUGCAUAGCCGACCUGAGAGGGUGAUCGGCCACACUGGAACUGAGACACGGUCCAGACUCCUACGGGAGGCAGCAGUAGGGAAUCUUCCGCAAUGGGCGAAAGCCUGACGGAGCAACGCCGCGUGAGUGAUGUAGGUCUUCGGAUCGUAAAACUCUGUUAUUAGGGAAGAACAUAUGUGUAAGUAACUGUGCACAUCUUGACGGUACCUAAUCAGAAAGCCACGGCUAACUACGUG
rnacentral:rRNA from 1 species